rnacentral:lncRNA from 10 species
AAGAAAUGGAGAUUAUGUAGAGGUAACAAUUAGGGAAAAAUAAAAACAGAAAUAGUCAAAAGUGGUUACCCAAUGGGAGUGGUAUUUGAAAUGGGUAAAGAGGAAGACAGGGGACUUUUACUUUGAUUUUAGACUUUUUGGUAUUUUUUUUUUACAUAUGCACAUAUUGUUUAUAAUUAUCUUUUUAAACUUUCAAAUCUUUCCUAAAUAGUAUAGUUCAGAGAUACUUAAGGCUUAAUGUCUGUGCCUGAGGAAUGGUAAGGUGUUAUGCUAGGUAUAUUUGUUAAGGUAGGCUAUUGCUAUAAGAAAUUAAUCUCAAAGUGUAUUUUGUCUCAAAUACCACAGAAGUCUAUUUCUUGGUCUCAGAACAAAGCAGCUCCAAAUGGGUGAGAUGGGGCUGGAGAAGUGGGAGGAGGAAGAGGGAGGAUUGUCUGUUCCACACAAUCAUUGGAGGACCCAGGGUGGCAGAGGCUCUGCCAUUUUCAGCAUGUGGUUAAGGUCACCUGAGAAUUAACAUCCAGCCAGCACAAGGGACAGGAACACGAAGAGGUAUGCCUAGGAGAAUUGUUGUGGACCAGGCCUGGUAGUGCUGCACAUUGCUUCUGCUCAUACUGCAUUGAUUGGAACUCAGUCCAUUGGCCACACCUAAUUGCAAGAGAGGCUGAGAAAUAUGAGCCAGCUGAAUACCCAGGAAGAAAAGAAUGUGGAUUUUGGUUAGCAGCUAGCAGUUCUGUCACACAGGAUUACAAAAUAUCCUUUUAUGAUCCCUACUUUGGAGGACCCAUAGUGAAGCCUCAUAAUGCUAGGACAAAACUCCCACUCUAAAGAUAGGAUGUAAAAGACUCUUUUUGGCACAGCCCCUCAGCCCACCUCUAAUUUCAGCUUAAAUUGAACAGUUCCCAAGCUCAGUGUCCAGUGACCCACACUUUGUGGCCUUGUAACUCUCAGUUAUUCUGCUCUGUGUCUUUUUUUUCUGAAGCUGCAGGAGCUCCCUCAGCCCAUAUGCAGAACAGCCCAAAAGUACAGGGAGAAUUAACACCAUAGGGACAAACCUCAACCAAACAUAUAAUGGAAAAGGCAGGUAAGAGCCGGUUUGUUGGAGGCCACACAAACGUUUCUUAUGAUUAGGCAUCAUUGAAGCCUGUCAGUAACAAUAUGAACCUGUGAUCAGUUAAGCAGCUGACCAAUCAUUACCUCCUCCUUGCUCUUGUUACCCAAUAAAUACAAAGGGCUGUAGAAGCUCAGGGACUGCCUUUGCUCACUAGAAGCAGGGAGCUCUCUUCUUCCCCAUGCUAGCCUUUCCUUAAAAUAGUUACUUUUGUUUUUUGUUAUCAUUUCUAUGUUCAUCCCUUCAUUCAGUCCUGUAAUGACAGUCUCAAGCAGUAACAGUAGUAACUGCUGUAAUGAUAGUCUCAAGUAGUAGUAGUAGCAGUCAGCCACAAGUGGCGCCUGAACAGGGACUAACAGGGACUAUCAGGGACAGAGACCUGAAGAGACCUGAAGGGACCUGAAGAGGCCUACAAGGACAAGUAGAGAUAAGAGAUAAGAGAUAAGAAAGAGAUAAGAGAUAAGAAAGAGAUAAGAGAUAAGAAAGAGAUAAGAGAUAAGAGGUAAGAAAGAGAUAGGAGAUGAGGAAGAGAUGAGAAAGAGACAGGAGAUGAGGAAGAGAUGAGAAAGAGAUAGGAGAUGAGGAAGAGAUGAGAAAGAUAGGAAAUGAGGAAGAGAUGAGAAAGAGAUAGGAGAUGAGGAAGAGAUGAGAAAGAGAUAGGAGAUGAGGAAGAGAUGAGAAAGAGAUAGGAGAUGAGGAAGAUAUGAGAAACAGACAGGAAAUGAGGAAGAGAUAGGAGAUGAGGAGGAGAUGAGGAAGAGAUAGGAGAUGAGGAGGAGAUGAGGAAGAGAUAGGAGAUGAGGAAGAGAUAGGAGAUGAGGAAGAGAUAGGAGAUGAGGAAGAGAUAGGAGAUGAGGAGGAGAUAGGAGAUGAGGAGGAGAUGAGGAAGAGACAGGAGAUGAGGAAGAGACAGGAGAUGAGGAAGAGACAGGAGAUGAGGAAGAGACAGGAAAUGAGGAGGAGAUGAGGAAGAGAUAGGAGAUGAGGAGGAGAUGAGGAGGAGAUGAGGAGGAGAUGAGGAGGAGAUGAGGAGGAGAUGAGGAAGAGAUAGGAGAUGAGGAAGAGAUAGGAGAUGAGGAAGAGAUAGGAGAUGAGGAAGAGAUAGGAGAUGAGGAAGAGAUGAGGAAGAGAUAGGAGAUGAGGAAGAUAUAGAUAGGGGACAGCUAGGGGAUAGGUAGGGACUUGUAGGAACUAACAGGUGCCAUAGAGACAGAUAGGGAUAAAGACUAGCAAAGACUAGCAAUAUAAGGUCAGUGCCCUAAAGAGGUACAAAAGUAGAGACUAGCAAAGACUAGCAGAGAUUUGCAGGGACAGACAGGGUCCUAUAGGGACUUGAAUGAGGAAGGUCUGCUGGAACAUAAAAAACUAAAGCCCAGAAAAAACUAAAACCAACCAGAUGAACUAGACACCCCGUUACAAGUCUGCCAGCAGCAACAUAAGGUCAGUGCUCUACAAAGGUACUGGUCAGUGCCCUAGAGGUACAAAGAACAGGGAGUUUUUGAAUCAGGGUAACAUGAGGAAGAAUUUGGUUAUUUCUUUUCUUUUUUGUUUGGAGUUUGGUAUGUACCAUCUUCGUGUUAUUAUUUCGGGGUUUAAUAGAAUUUUUUGCCCCAACUACAGCACCUAUCGAAAGUGGUGAACAGGAAAGGGAGAAUGGAAAUUGGCUUGUACCAUCUUUUGUGGCUACAGAAGGGCUAACUUUAGCUUCGGCUUUCAUGGAUUGUAAACAUGCACUGGCACCUGUGAGAUGUACAGAGGACUUGAGAAGUUUUCUCGGAGCUUGUCAGGAUGUGGGAACUGAGCUUCAUUGCUCUGCAGUAUUGACUCAGGCAAUGGCUAAUUUGGUAACUGACAGAUCUAAAAGAAGCCAAGGGUCAAGCCCUAAAGUGGGAAAGUGUUAUAAGUGUAGAAAAAUUGGAGGUUUCAAAAGAGAAUGCCAUCAGACCUCUGGCAAAAACAGAUCUUGUAAUACAGUUCCCCUCUUACCAGAAAAAGUGUCAGGACUUUGCCCUCCUUGCAAUAAAGGAAACUACUGGGCUAACCAAUGCCACUCAAAAUUUCAUCCAAACGGCACCCCCCCUGUCGGGAAGCAAGAAGGGGGCCUGAACCCGGGCACUUCAAACUAAGAGGACAUUCCCCAUUCAGGCCACAACUCCAUCUCAGGGGUAGGUUUCCAAAGGCGCAUUGAUUCCCUCUCCCCAGGAACACCUGGAAACACAGGAUUAGCUCUCCUAGCUAGAGAAAAAAUUACAUUAAUUGAAAGAAACAAACUCACUAAGAUUCACACUGGCAUUUGGGGAUCUUUGCCAACAAGAUACAUGGGACUGAUUUCGGUAAAAGCUGUCUUAACUUACAGACCCAGGAGUUGUUGAUUUUGAUUGUGAAGGAGAAAUUCAGGUAGUAGUAAUGCCAUAAGAUCUUUGGGUUUUUGAACCGGGAGAGUGCAUUGCUCAUUGUUGCUUACUCCCUAUAAAUUGUACCCUUCUCUACCCAAGAAGAAAUGAGAUCAGGGAUUUGGAAGUACAACUACGUGGGAGAUUUAUUUAUCACAACCCAUAGCAUCUCAUAGACCCACUUGCGCAGUGUAGAUUGAAGAAAACUUUUGUGGGUUUAUGGAUAUGGGAGCAAGAGACUGGGCUUUCGUGGUAAUAGAUCUUGAGGAUUGUUUACAAGAAGGAUAAGCCUCGAUUUGCUUUUUCUGUGUCUUCUGUUAAUCAGAAAGAGCCUGUUUCUUGUUAUCAAUGGAAAGUUUUACCCCGUGGCAAUUAACCAAAGAGGCAGAGGCUGAGUUGCAGCUUGUAGAACAAAUCCUUCAGCAAUGGCGUGCCUGCUGGCUACAGCCACACGAGACUUUUGCUUCUGUUUCGCUAGAUUUACUAACGUGGGGUCGAGGGUAUGCUUGUGUUUUUGCAGGAGAUGAACAAAGCGUGUGGGUACCCUCAAAAUGUGUAUGACUAUGGAACAGGAGACUGGAGGGACCCAUGAAUCCCAACCAUGGACCUGGUUCCCCCAGUAUGAGCCACAAGCCAGUUGAAUCUGAAUGCGAAGACGGAACGAGGACCAACUGGAGUCACACUGACAUCAACCCCCAUAACAUGGGGACAGAUCAAGAAAACCACACAGAAAGCUGAGAAACUGCUGGAGCACCAGGGUUUCACCUUUUGCUGGAACUCAGAGUGCCUGUCUCACUGACCCUAUGAAGGAGAAGGAUCUGCAGAGCACAUUCUCAGGACAUCUACCCAUGAGGCUGGUGGGACUCUUGUGAUUGCUACUUGAAUUGGAAUAAUCGGAACGGACACAUGUAAAAGGAAUGCAGAAGGACCAGACAGAUCUCUUCAAAUGUAAACCUAUGACUUAAAAUUCAGUUUCAUGAGCACUGUGGGAGACCUGAGUUUUUAACAGCUGGAGCCAAUAGUGAAGAUAGAUCUGGAAAUUUAAUUAUCCAUGAGUCCUGAGCCACCUUGUAGGAAGUCCAGUUAUCCUAAAGUCAGACUGCUGGAGAGACCAUGUGCAAACACUCCAUAGAAAUGGAGUUGUCCAAGGAGCCAGUUGUUCCAGCCCCCAGCUGAUUGAGUCUUCCUAGCCUGGCAGCAGACAUGUGAGUAAGCAAGCCUUCAGAUGAUGCCAGCCCCAGCCUCUGUCUGACUGUAACUGCAUGAGAAAAGCUGAGCAAGAACUACCUAGAUGAGCCCUGUCAACCCCCACAACCAUGAGAGAUAAUAAUAAUGACCACUGUUGUUUAAACCACUAGGUUUUAGGGUGGUUUUCUAGGCAGCAAUAGAUAAUGGGAACAGACCGCUAGUCAUCCACUUAUCGUAAAGAAGGUUAGAUGACUUAUGUUUCAUAAAACCUUGUUGUAUUAGUCUGUCUUCCCACUGCUAAUAAAGACAUACCCGAGAUUGGGUAAUUUACAAAGAGAGGUUUAAUGGGCCCACAGUUCCACAUGGCUGGGGAGGCCUCACAAUCAUGGCAGGAAGGCAAAAAUACACAUCUUACAUGGCAGCAGGCAAAUAGAGAAUGAGCGCCAAGCAAAAGGGGUUUCCCCUUAUAAAACCAUCAGAUCUCACGAGAACAGUAUGGGGGAAACCGCCCCCAUGUUUCAAAUAUCUCCCACUGGGUCCUCUCACCCCUGUACCCCCCACACAACACGUGGUAAUUAUGGGAGCUAUGAGAUGAGAUUUGGGUGGGGACGCAACCAAUCCAUAUCACUUGUAAAAAAUCCUAUUUGUUAACUAAGAUAUACACUACCACCUUAAAGCAACAACACAGAACAACCACCCUUCAGGCCUUGAUAGAGUAUAAACUCCAACAAUCUGCUCCGAACCCUAAUCAAAGGUUGAUAUGGUUUAGCUGUGACCCCACCCAAAUCCCAUCUUGAAUUGUAGUUCCCAUAAUCCCCACAGGUUGUGGGAGGGACCAGGUGGAGAUAAUUGAAUCAUAGGGGUGAUUUCCCACAUCCUGUUCUUGUGAUAGUGAGUUCUCACAAGACCUGAUGGUUUUAUAAGGGGCUUCCCCCUUCACUGGACACUCAUUCUUCUUGCUGCUGCCAUGUAAAGAAGGACAUGUUUGCUCCCCCUUCUGCCAUAAUUGUAAGUUUCCUGGGGUCUCCCCAGCCAUGCUGAACUCUGAGUCAAUUAAACCUCUUUCCUUUAUAAAUUACCCAGUCUCGGGUAUUUCUUCAUAGCAGCAUGGGAAGGGACUAAUACAAAGGUCUCAUUAAGUGAGGUGAUCUCACUGGAGAAGUGUUUGAAGGACUUGUACUCCUCUGGAUUUUCUAGAAGUAUUCUUUGAUUUAAUGACAAUUUUAGAAAGUUUCCAUCUCGAGCCAUGCUUCCUUGGUCUGUGUUAGAAUUGCCCUCAGUGAGUCGGGCUGUAGGUUAUGCUGCAGGUUUCGUGCUACAAGACAGCUUUAGGAAAGCUCCGUUGCAUUUGCUACAGGAUAUUCUUACAAAUAUCGUUGAGGACACUGUUUACCACAUCCAUCAAUGUCCCAGAUAUAAAACUCCAUACUAGAAAUUUCUUUUAGAGCUAAAUUCCAAUAAAAGCUUGAGAAACUAAGGCGGGGAGUGGUGCUCACCCCUGUAAUCCCAGCACAUCGGAAGGCCAAGGCAGGUGGAUCCCCUGAAGUCAGGAGUUCGAGACCAACCUGGCCAACAGGGGCAAAACCCCAUCUCUACUGAAAUAUGAAAAUUAGGCGUGGUGGCGAGUGCCUGUAAUCCCAGCUACUUGGGAGGCUGAGGCAGGAGGAUUGCUUGAACCCAAGAGGGAGAGGUUGCAAUGAG